UUUAAUUCGAAGCAACGCGCAGAACCUUACCAGCGUUUGUACAUGGUAGGACGACUGGCAGAGAUGCCUUUCUUCCCUUCGGGGACCUACACACAGGUGCUGCAUGGCUGUCGUCAGCUCGUGUCGUGAGAUGUUGGGUUAAGUCCCGCAACGAGCGCAACCCUCGACUUUAGUUACCAUCAUUAAGUUGGGUACUUUAAAGUAACCGCCGGCGAUAAGCCGGAGGAAGGUGGGGAUGACGUCAAGUCCUCAUGGCCCUUACGCGCUGGGCUACACACGUGCUACAAUGGCAAGUACAGUGGGCAGCAAUCCCGCGAGGGUGAGCUAAUCUCCAAAACUUAGUCUCAGUUCGGAUUGUUCUCUGCAACUCGAGAGCAUGAAGGCGGAAUCGCUAGUAAUCGCGGAUCAGCAUGCCGCGGUGAAUACGUUCCCAGGCCUU
rnacentral:rRNA from 1 species